CCUACGGGAGGCAGCAGUGAGGAAUAUUGGUCAAUGGACGCAAGUCUGAACCAGCCAUGCAGCGUGCAGGAAGACGGCCCUAUGAGUUGUAAACUGCUUUUUUACGAGGGUAAACUCAAAUACGCAUAUCUUUCUGAAUGUAUCUUACGAAUAAGUAUCGGCUAACUCCGUGCCAGCAGCCGCGGUAAUACGGAGGAUUCAAGCGUUAUCCGGAUUUAUUGGGUUUAAAGGGUGCGUAGGCGGGCUGGUAAGUUAGUGGUGAAAGCUAGAGGCUCAACUUCGAAAUUGCAGCUGAUACUGGUCGCCUAGAGAGUAGUUGCGGUAGGCGGAAUGUAUGGUGUAGCGGUGAAAUGCUUAGAGAUCAUACAGAACACCGAUUGCGAAGGCAGCCUACCAAGCUAUUUCUGACGUUGAGGCACGAAAGUGUGGGGAGCAAACAGGAUUAGAUACCCUUGUAGUC
rnacentral:rRNA from 1 species